GUAACCGCCUCCGUGCUCCAGGAAGCACUUCCCAGACCUCCGACCCCGGUGACGCCAGAUUUCCGGGGAGGUGCUUCGGCGAAAGGGAGCGCGCAUCCGCGCGACGCGCCCAGCCUGACCCCUGCCCCCCAACCCGGGGGCUGCUUCCUGCACCUGCACAGAGACCCGGACGUCGCGACCUCGGCUGUCGGAUCGAGAUUCCUAAGAGAUCGCUGAGCCGUGAAGACCCCCCGGAAAACGCAAGCAAGAAGACGUUUUUGUUUGGAGAAGAUUCUGGUUUCCUAUCAAAAAAUCAACAAUCAAUCAUCUGGAUUUAUGCUGGCUCUGCUGUCUGUGUGAAAAUUCUAUUGGUAUUCAAACUCGUAUGAAGAGGAGACUCUUGCUGAUUCUCCAACAUACAAAAAUGAAAAUUUUAUCACUUACACUGGCCAAGUUGGAAAAUGUCUUACAAAUUUUGAUUUGGGCUCUGGUUUGGGAUUUGGCCCACUGAAAAUACAAUUAUAAGAAAUCCAAGUACUAGACCUAAAAGCCAUUUGGAAUCCUACCAUGUGAAACAAACACAGAGGGACUUCCCUGGUGGUGCAGUGGUUAAGAAUC